UGCUACUACUGAACUGUUGCGGCUUUGAGCUUUUGCUGCGGUUCUGCUACUCCUAAUUGCUACUGCUGUUUUGCGCUGCAUCUGUUGUACCACUGAUUUGCGCUUCUGCUGCUGUUCCUAUUCGCUGCUACAGUCUGCUUCCUCAUCUCCUUCCAUUGCGUUACAGACUCAUUGUGUUACAGUCCCGUCCAAACUAUUUUCUUUGUUGGUUUUAAAGCAAUAUCACUACUCGUUGUAGUGCAUACUUUGGAGACCAAUAUUAGUCUUGGAAAUGUGUCUUUCUCAUUCACUCACACCAAAGCUAUAGAGCCUUUCUUUUCCAUCAUUCUUUCUCCCAUAUUUAUUGGAGAGUGACGUGUUGUAAUGUGGCAUUAACCAAUCAUUCAAGCACUUAAAGAUGACAAAAUAUGUGAGUUUUGUUGUAUUUU